AUUGAACGCUGGCGGCAUGCCUUACACAUGCAAGUCGAACGGCAGCACGGGUGCUUGCACCUGGUGGCGAGUGGCGAACGGGUGAGUAAUACAUCGGAACAUGUCCUGUAGUGGGGGAUAGCCGGGCGAAAGCCGGAUUAAUACCGCAUACGAUCUACGGAUGAAAGCGGGGGACCUUCGGGCCUCGCGCUAUAGGGUUGGCCGAUGGCUGAUUAGCUAGUUGGUGGGGUAAAGGCCUACCAAGGCGACGAUCAGUAGCUGGUCUGAGAGGACGACCAGCCACACUGGGACUGAGACACGGCCCAGACUCCUACGGGAGGCAGCAGUGGGGAAUUUUGGACAAUGGGCGAAAGCCUGAUCCAGCAAUGCCGCGUGUGUGAAGAAGGCCUUCGGGUUGUAAAGCACUUUUGUCCGGAAAGAAAUCCUUGGCCCUAAUACGGUCGGGGGAUGACGGUACCGGAAGAAUAAGCACCGGCUAACUACGUG
rnacentral:rRNA from 1 species